rnacentral:rRNA from 1 species
GAAGGGUGCAAGCGUUACUCGGAAUUACUGGGCGUAAAGGGUGCGUAGGUGGUUGUCUAAGUCUGUUGUGAAAGCCCCGGGCUCAACCUGGGAAUGGCAAUGGAUACUGGACAGCUAGAGUGCGGUAGAGGGUAGUGGAAUUCCCGGUGUAGCAGUGAAAUGCGUAGAGAUCGGGAGGAACACCAGUGGCGAAGGCGGCUACCUGGACCAGCACUGACACUGAAGCACGAAAGCGUGGGGAGCAAACAGGAUUAGAUACCCUGGUAGUCCACGCCCUAAACGAUGCGAACUGGACGUUGGGAGCAACUUGGCUCUCAGUGUCGAAGCUAACGCGUUAAGUUCGCCGCCUGGGGAGUACGGUCGCAAGACUG